AUUGAACGCUGGCGGCAGGCCUAACACAUGCAAGUCGAGCGGAGCGGCGGACGGGUGAGUAAUGCCUAGGAAUCUGCCUGGUAGUGGGGGAUAACGUCCGGAAACGGGCGCUAAUACCGCAUACUAUCAGAUGAGCCUAGGUCGGAUUAGCUAGUUGGUGGGGUAAAGGCCUACCAGGGCGACGAUCCGUAACUGGUCUGAGAGGAUGAUCAGUCACACGGGAACGGGGAAAGGGUCCAGAUCCCUACGGGAGGAAGCGGUGGGAAAUAUUGGACAAUGGGGGAAAGCCUGCUCCAGCCAUGCCGCGUGUGUGAAGAAGGUCUUCGGAUGGUAAAGCACUUUAAGUUGGGAGGCGUUACCAACAGAAUAAGCACCGGCUAACUUCGUGCCAGCAGCCGCGGUAUAC
rnacentral:rRNA from 1 species